GAAGGCGGCCUUCUGGACUGACACUGACACUGAGGUGCGAAAGCGUGGGUAGCAAACAGGAUUAGAUACCCUGGUAGUCCACGCCGUAAACGAUGUCGACCAGCCGUUGGGUGCCUAGCGCACUUUGUGGCGAAGUUAACGCGAUAAGUCGACCGCCUGGGGAGUACGGCCGCAAGGUUAAAACUCAAAUGAAUUGACGGGGGCCCGCACAAGCGGUGGAGCAUGUGGUUUAAUUCGAUGCAACGCGAAGAACCUUACCUACUCUUGACAUCCUGCGAACUUGUGAGAGAUCACUUGGUGCCUUCGGGAGCGCAGAGACAGGUGCUGCAUGGCUGUCGUCAGCUCGUGUUGUGAAAUGUUGGGUUAAGUCCCGUAACGAGCGCAACCCUUGUCCUUAUUUGCCAGCGGGUAAUGCCGGGAACUCUAAGGAGACUGCCGGUGACAAACCGGAGGAAGGUGGGGACGACGUCAAGUCAUCAUGGCCCUUACGAGUAGGGCUACACACGUGCUACAAUGGCCGGUACAAAGGGUUGCGAGCUCGCGAGAGUCAGCUAAUCCCGAAAAGCCGGUCUCAGUCCGGAUCGGAGUCUGCAACUCGACUCCGUGAAGUCGGAAUCGCUAGUAAUCGUGAAUCAGAAUGUCACGGUGAAUACGUUCCCGGGCCUUGCACACACCGCCCGU
rnacentral:rRNA from 1 species